rnacentral:rRNA from 1 species
UAGGGAAUCUUCCACAAUGGACGCAAGUCUGAUGGAGCAACGCCGCGUGAGUGAAGAAGGUUUUCGGACCGUAAAGCUCUGUUGUUGGUNAAGAAGGAUAGAGGUAGUAACUGGCCUUUAUUUGACGGUAAUCAACCAGAAAGUCACGGCUAACUACGUGCCAGCAGCCGCGGUAAUACGUAGGUGGCAAGCGUUGUCCGGAUUUAUUGGGCGUAAAGCGAGCGCAGGCGGAAGAAUAAGUCUGAUGUGAAAGCCCUCGGCUUAACCGAGGAAUUGCAUCGGAAACUGUUUUCUUGAGUGCAGAAGAGGAGAGUAGAACUCCAUGUGUAGCGGUGGAAUGCGUAGAUAUAUGGAAGAAUACCAGUGGCGAAGGCGGCUCUCUGGUCUGCAACUGACGCUGAGGCUCGAAAGCAUGGGUAGCGAACAGGAUUAGAUACCCUGGUAGUCCAUGCCGUAAACGAUGAGUGCUAAGUGUUGGGAGGCUUCCGCCUCUCAGUGCUGCAGCUAACGCAUUAAGCACUCCGCCUGGGGGAGUACGACCGCAAGGUUGAAAC